UACGUAGGGUGCAAGCGUUGUCCGGAAUUAUUUGGGCGUAAAGAGCUCGUAGGCGGUCUGUCGCGUCGGCUGUGAAAUCCCGAGGCUCAACCUCGGGUCUGCAGUCGAUACGGGCAAACUAGAGUAUUGCAGGGGAGACUGGAAUUCCUGGUGUAGCGGUGAAAUGCGCAGAUAUCAGGAGGAACACCGGUGGCGAAGGCGGGGUCUCUGGGCAAUAACUGACGCUGAGGAGCGAAAGCGUGGGGAGCGAACAGG
rnacentral:rRNA from 1 species